AGUGAACGCUGGCGGUAGGCCUAACACAUGCAAGUCGAACGGCAGCACAGUAAGAGCUUGCUCUUACGGGUGGCGAGUGGCGGACGGGUGAGGAAUACAUCGGAAUCUACUUUUUCGUGGGGGAUAACGUAGGGAAACUUACGCUAAUACCGCAUACGACCUACGGGUGAAAGCAGGGGAUCUUCGGACCUUGCGCGAUUGAAUGAGCCGAUGUCGGAUUAGCUAGUUGGGGGGGUAAAGGCCCACCAAGGCGACGAUCCGUAGCUGGUCUGAGAGGAUGAUCAGCCACACUGGAACUGAGUCACGGUCCAGACUCCUACGGGAGGCAGCAGUGGGGAAUAUUGGACAAUGGGCGCAAGCCUGAUCCAGCCAUACCGCGUGGGUGAAGAAGGCCUUCGGGUUGUAAAGCCCUUUUGUUGGGAAAGAAAAGCAGCAGGUUAAUACCCCGCUGUUCUGACGGUACCCAAAGAAUAAGCACCGGCUAACUUCGUG
rnacentral:rRNA from 1 species